ACUGGUGUGAAUUGCAGAAUCCCGUGAACCAUCGAGUCUUUGAACGCAAGUUGCGCCCGAAGCCCUCGGGCCGAGGGCACGCCUGCCUGGGCGUCACGC
rnacentral:rRNA from 1 species